UACGUAGGUGGCGAGCGUUGUCCGGAUUUACUGGGCGUAAAGAGCGCGCAGGCGGUCGUACAAGUCGCGUGUGAAAGCCCCCGGCUCAACUGGGGAGGGUCACGCGAUACUGUUCGACUCGAAGGCAGGAGAGGGAAGCGGAAUUCCCGGUGUAGUGGUGAAAUGCGUAGAUAUCGGGAGGAACACCAGUGGCGAAGGCGGGUCUCUGGGCCGAAACUGACGCUGAGGAGCGAAAGCGUGGGGAGCAAACAGG
rnacentral:rRNA from 1 species